rnacentral:rRNA from 1 species
AGGGAAUCCUAAGUGCUUUGCUUUUUGCAAAGCUUUUUUUAAGAGUAAAAAUCUUGGAGAAUAAGUGGUGGGAAAGACUGGUGCCAGCAGCCGCGGUAAUACCAGCGCCACGAGUGGUGAUCAUUUUUAUUGGGCCUAAAGCGUUCGUAGCCGGUUUGAUAAAUCUUCUGUGAAAUUGUCAAGCUUAACUUGACAGCGUGCAGAAGACACUAUCAGACUUGGAACCGGGAGGAGUCAGAGGUAUUCUUUGGGGAGCGGUAAAAUGCUAUAAUCCUAAGAGGACUAACAGUGGCGAAGGCGUCUGACUAGAACGGAUUCGACGGUGAUUGGACGAAAGUCAGGGGAGCAAUCCGGAUUAGAUACGAGAAAUUAUGUCUAAUUUCUGGAGUUAGCUCGUAAAUUGUUCUAUAAAAUCUACUUACGAAUUAACAAAAGAAAUUGUAAAUGAUGGUUUCUCGCUAACUACCCGAGUAGUCCUGACUGUAAACUCUGCGAGCUAGGUGUUGCAUAUUCUUCGGGAAUAUGCAGUGUCGAAGUGAAGACGUUAAGCUCGCCGCCUG